rnacentral:rRNA from 1 species
AAUGAACGUUGGCGGCAUGGAUUAGGCAUGCAAGUCGAGCGAGAAGUGUAGCAAUACACGGAAAGCGGCGGAAGGGAGAGUAAUACGUGGGAAUCUGCCCUUAGACCUGGGAUAGCAGCGGGAAACUGCUGGUAAUACCAGAUAAUGUCUAUGGACCAAAGGUGUGAUUCCGUCUAGGGAUGAGCCCACGUCCUAUUAGCUAGUUGGUAGGGUAAUGGCCUACCAAGGCGAUGAUGGGUAGCGGGUGUGAGAGCAUGACCCGCCUCACUGGGACUGAGACACUGACCAGACAACUACGGGUGGCUGCAGUCGAGAAUCGUCGGCAAUGGGCGCAAGCCUGACCGAGCGAUGCCGCGUGCGGGAUGAAGGCCUUCGGGUUGUAAACCGCUGUCGAGGGGGAGCAACUUCCAUAGAGUUAUCUUUAUGGAUUGAGUGAUCCCUGGAGGAAGGACGGGCUAAGUUCGUGCCAGCCGCCGCCGUAACAC